GGGCCCGCACAAGCGGUGGAGCAUGUGGUUUAAUUCGAUGAUACGCGAGGAACCUUACCAGGGCUUAAAUGCAGAACGACAGAGGUGGAAAACACCUCCUUCUUCGGACGGUCUGCAAGGUGCUGCAUGGUUGUCGUCAGCUCGUGCUGUGAAGUGUCGGGUUAAGUCCCAUAACGAGCGCAACCCCUAUUUCUAGUUGCCAGCGGUUCGGCCGGGGACUCUAGAGAAACUGCCAGCGUAAGCUGUGAGGAAGGUGGGAUGACGUCAAAUCAUCACGGCCUUACGAGUAGGGCUACACACGUGCUACAAUGGGGAAUACAGACGGACGCUAAGCCGCGAGGUGGUGCU
rnacentral:rRNA from 1 species